rnacentral:lncRNA from 1 species
CACGCAUCUGUCUUCAAAUUCCAAAUAUAUGCCUCCAACAACAUUUAUUAUUGUGAGGGGGCUUCUGUAACCCUACUGCUCAGCUCUUGAAUGGCCCAGCUAUGCAUAUCAUAGUUGCAUUUGUUUAUCACAGGGCAUCUGAAAAAACAAAGGAAAUAAGUCCUUGGCAAUCAGUGGGACAGAUGGGAACCAGCACCAAACAGGAGGAAGAGUCUGUGCUUCAGAUCAGGUCGGAAAAGGUUGCAGCAUAUGAACAAACUGCUCAAAUUGAUCAAACAGUCAGUGUAAACCAAAAGAAAUGUGGUAUUUCAAAAUCUGAGAAAAAAGACAUCCGCUUCCUGGAGCUGCUAAUAACACCACAACAAAAGGAGCUGAAAGCAGUGGAAGACUGUGGAAAAAACACAAAAUAA